CGAAGCAACGCGAAGAACCUUACCUAAGCUUGACAUCCCAAUGACAUCUCCUUAAUCGGAGAGUUCCCUUCGGGGACAUUGGUGACAGGUGGUGCAUGGUUGUCGUCAGCUCGUGUCGUGAGAUGUUGGGUUAAGUCCCGCAACGAGCGCAACCCUUGUCUUUAGUUGCCAUCAUUAAGUUGGGCACUCUAGAGAGACUGCCAGGGAUAACCUGGAGGAAGGUGGGGAUGACGUCAAAUCAUCAUGCCCCUUAUGCUUAGGGCUACACACGUGCUACAAUGGGUAGUACAGAGGGUUGCCAAGCCGUAAGGUGGAGCUAAUCCCUUAAAGCUACUCUCAGUUCGGAUUGUAGGCUGAAACUCGCCUACAUGAAGCUGGAGUUACUAGUAAUCGCAGAUCAGAAUGCUGCGGUGAAUGCGUUCCCGGGUCUUGUACACACCGCCCGUCACACCACGGGAGUUGGAGACGCCCGAAGCCGA
rnacentral:rRNA from 1 species